AUGAUGCAAAAGAUGGGUUUCGCUUGCCGGUGGGUGAACUGGAUUAUGUCAUGUGUCACCUCGGUGAGAUACACUAUUAAAUUCAAUGGUACCCUCUUGGAUUCGUUCGCACCGUCCCGCGGGCUACAGCAAGGUGAUCCAUUAUCCCCGUUUCUGUUCUUAUUAGUGGCUGAUGGAUUGUCUGCUUUGCUGAAACAAGGUGUACAAAACGGUGAAAUCACACCGUUGAAAGUGUGCCGAAGAGCUCCGGGGGUCUCUCAUCUCCUUUUUGCAGAUGAUUCCCUACUCUUCUUCGAAGCCACAGAGGAGCAAGCUGUUAGCGUGAAGCGUAUGAUGCACAUUUAUGAGGCGUCCACGGGCCAGAGCAUUAAUCCGAUGAAGUGCAGCGGGCUCUUUGGGGAAGCCUGCCCAAGCGAGGAACAACAGAAGGUGCGCACUGCCCUGGGUAUUGUCACAACCUUGUUUGAGGACAAAUACCUGGGAUUCCCUACACCGGAAGGGCGCAUGUCACGCGGCAAGUUUCAGAAUUUGCAAUCCAAGCUGCUAAAGAGAAUUAUCGGGUGGGGUGACACACUGUCCUUAGCUGGGAAGGAGACGAUGAUCAAGGCUACCGCGCAGGCAAUACCAACAUAUGUCAUGGGAAUCUUCAAACUGCCCAUGUCUGUGUGUGAUGAUCUUAAUCGCAUGGUUCGGAACUUCUGGUGGGGAGCGUCGGAAGGGAAGCGGAAGACACACUGGCUAGCGUGGGCAAAAAUCAUGGCGCAUAAAUCUCAGGGAGGGCUUGGCUUCCACGACUUCCGCGUGUUCAACCAGGCUCUCCUCGCAAGGCAAGCAUGGCGACUUCUAACCAACCCCCAAAGUUUGUGUGCGCAGGUUCUUAAAGCGAGGUACUACCCCGAGGGACGCCUCGAGGAUACUGUUUUCUCUGGCAAUGCGUCUCCGACAUGGCAGGCCAUCCAGCAUGGACUGGAACUGCUCAAGAAGGGCAUCAUAUGGCGCGUAGGCGACGGGCAACGCAUCCGCAUUUGGAGGGACCAUUGGGUUCCCCGGGAGCCCUCACGCCUCCCAAUAACCCAGCAGGGCACUUGUCACCUGCGCCGCGUGGCGGAGCUGCUGCACACAGACGGCUCUUGGCGCCUUGACCUUCUCCACCGCUACUUCCACCUGGCUGACGUGGAGGCGAUCACCUCCAUCCGCACAUCAACACGCGUCACGGACGACAUCAUCUCCUGGGCACCGAAAAAGAACGGUAUCUUCACCGUUCGUUCCGCCUACCGGUUUGCCAUGGACGAGCGCGAGCGUCCACUGGCCACCGCCACGAGCAGGGCACUGGGUGGUCGUCGCGCCAUCUGGAAGACCAUACGGGGGUGCCCUGCUCCCCCUAAGGUACGCGUGUUUGCU
rnacentral:rRNA from 1 species